CCUACGGGUGGCUGCAGUGAGGAAUAUUGGUCAAUGGCCGAGAGGCUGAACCAGCCAAGUCGCGUGAGGGAAGAAUGUACUAUUGAUUGUAAACCUCUUUUGUCAGGGAGCAAAGUCACGCACGUGUGGGUGUUGGAGAGUACCUGAAGAAAAAGCAUCGGCUAACUCCGUGCCAGCAGCCGCGGUAAUACGGAGGAUGCGAGCGUUAUCCGGAUUUAUUGGGUUUAAAGGGUGCGUAGGCGGGUUAUCAAGUCAGCGGUAAAAGCGUGGAGCUCAACUCCAUCGAGCCGUUGAAACUGACGCGCUUGAGUUGGAGAGAAGUACGCGGAAUGCGCGGUGUAGCGGUGAAAUGCUUAGAUAUCACACAGAACUCCGAUUGCGAAGGCAGCGUACCGGCUCCACACUGACGCUGAAGCACGAAAGCGUGGGUAUCGAACAGGAUUAGAUACCCGAGUAGUC
rnacentral:rRNA from 1 species